rnacentral:rRNA from 1 species
CACAUGCAAGUCGAACGAGACCUUCGGGUCUAGUGGCGCACGGGUGCGUAACACGUGGGAAUUUGCCUCGGGGUAUGGAAUAACUCAGGGAAACUUGAGCUAAUACCAUAUAAUGUCUUCGGACCAAAGAUUUAUCGCCCUGAGAUAAGCCCGCGUAGGAUUAGCUAGUUGGUGAGGUAAAGGCUCACCAAGGCGACGAUCCUUAGCUGGUCUGAGAGGAUGAUCAGCCACACUGGGACUGAGACACGGCCCAGACUCCUACGGGAGGCAACAGUGGGGGAAUAUUGGACAAUGGGCGAAAGCCUGAUCCAGCAAUGCCGCGUGAGUGAUGAAGGCCUUCGGGUUGUAAAGCUCUUUUACUCGGGACGAUAAUGACGGUACCGAGAGAAUAAGCCCCGGCUAACUCCGUG